ACUCCAAGCUGUGUUGCUUCAGAGAGAAGUUGCUAAGAAGGCUUCUGUUGCAAAUGGCACAAGCUGAAUGUUUCCCAGUGCCAGGCAAUCCCUCACCCAAGACAACUUGUACAGGCCCUUCACAUCCUCUUGGUGCUUUUUCAACACAGCAGCUGUACAGGCUGACUUCUGUCAAUCUGUGUUUUCCAAAGCACCAUCUAUUGAAAAGUCUCUUAUUUCUCCAUUAAAUUUUUUGGCACCUUCAUUGAAAAUCAGUCGAGCAUAAAUAAAAGCUGGGAUACAUGAAGACUGCCAUCCCUUGAGUCACUUGCCCUGUAGCUGCCACUGUUGGAAAAGGGCUUGCUUCUGUGUCCUUGUGCCCACUUUGAAAAUCCCUGGGAAGUCCUUGGAGUCAGAUGAGCAGGCCUCCGCCACUCUGCCAAAAAGUCUGUUCAAUCAGGAGUCCCCAACCCCUGAGCCAUGGACUGAUAUGGAGCUAUGGUCUGUUAGGAACUGGGCUGCCCAGGAGGAGCAAUGGUGCUUCUACAAUUUCCUUAUAGGAGGAGUGAAGAGUAAGCAUUUGGAUUGGACCAGGAUUUGGAGAACUUGUCAUGUUGCUCUACGUGCAUAUGAAAUACAUCAUUGUAACUUAGAAUGUGAAUUACAGAACAAACAUGAAAGUUAGAAAAAUAUUCUAAACAUAUUUUUAUGAUCUCUACUUGCAAUAAGGAAACUGUUAGGCUUUUCCAUCAAAGAAUAAGUGCAACAAAAACAAAAAUUUCUGGAUGGAAAAAAGGAGAUUUGAGGGGCAAGGCUAAAGCCCCCCAAACCUUCCUCAGGAUGAACACAAACCCCAUCUUUAUUUUCCUGUUGCCACUGUUCCAUGUUGCUGGGCUCUAUUCCAGCAAAAUUUUGGAAAGCGUUGCUACAGUUCUGCUCAUUUCUUUCUCACUUCAGAACAAUGAUGCCCUUUCCAGAUAAAGCAUCUUAAUUAAACAGAUGACAUUUGAACUAGACCUUGAAGAACAGGUCAGAGUUAUAUUGGGAAAGAAGUAGGAGAGGAACACCCAGAAAAUAACAUUUAUGAACAUAAAGGCACAGAAUAUAAAUGUCUCUGACAAAGACAGAAAUCAAGGGUAAAUUUUAGUGUGGCAUAGAUUAAUUCACUAACUCAAUAUAUAUAUAUUUACAUAGAGAGCAUGGAUAGAUACUAGAAAUAAAACAAUGGAUUAGACAUGGGCAACCUCAUGAUGUUUAGCAAAUAUUGUGUUCUUUAAGGCAGCAGUUCCCAACCUUUUUGGUACUAGGGACCGGUUACGUGGAAGACAAUUUUUCCACAGACUGGGAUGGGGGGACUGUUUUCAAGACAAUUCAAGCACGUUACAUUUAUGGUGCACUUUAUUUCUAUUAUUACUGCAUUGUAAUACAUAAUGAAAUAAGUACACAACUCACCAUAAUGUGGCAUCAUUGGAAGCCCUGAGCGUGCUUUCCUGCAACUAGACAGUUCCCUCUGGGGCCAAUGGGAAACAAUGACAGAUCAUCAGGCAUUAGAUUCUCAUGAGGAGCCCGCAACCUACAUCCCUCACAUGCACAGUCCACAAUAGGAUUCAUGCGCCUAUGAGAAUCUAGUGUCAUGGCUGGCAGAUAUAACAGAAGAUGGAGUUCAGGCGAUAAUGUGAGUAAGAGGGAGCGGCCAGAAAUACAGAUGAAACUUCACUCACUCACUUGCCACUCACCUCCUGGUCUGCGUCCUGGUUCCUAACGGGCCAUGGAUAGUUACAAGUCUGUGGCCCAGGGGGUUGAAGACCCCUGCCCUAGAGUACAUAUGCAGUGGAUGUUGAGAAACAGAUUAAUUCAUUAAUGCAGAGUCUUCAUAUUCCAAACAAAAGAUUUGAGGGUUUUAUCUGUUAUAACAACACUUGUGUUUCACUAAUUAUGUCAGGCACGACUCUAAUAACUUCAAAUUUAUUCACUCACCUAUUAUUAGAACAACAUUAUGAUAUAGGAAUACACUUGAUAUGUCCAUUAUACUGAUGAGGAGAUUCAGACAUAGAGUAGUUAUUUAACUUGGGUAAGGUCUUCAGAGCUAAUAAGAGGAAGAACCAGGACUUGAGCAUGGGUAGGGUGGCUUCAGAGUGGUAGUCUGGCUGUUUGUUUGUAAUCACCAAAAUGAAGCUACAGUGAUGUUUCAGUUUACAUAACAGAGUCCUGAGGCUUAAAGAUGCCAGGAAAUUAAUUUAAAGAUAUUGUAGUACGUAUCCCUGUCCAGACUAGAACUCCAGUCCAGGAGAACGCCAGUGCUCCUUCUGUUUCACAUAGAGAACACAUCAGUACUGUGACACACAGAAAGGUUUUAGUGGGAUGCUUGGUUAAGAGAAAUACGUUUACAACAAAAGAGGUGAUACUGUUGCUUGUCUUAGAAAAAUAUGGGAGACCUCAAUCAGCUGAAGUUCAACAUGUUCAAAGGUGGACAAAGUUUCUCGUUGCUCUAAGUAAGUUUAAAAUUGAGCCAAAAAGGUCUUGAUUGAUAAGGGUGGCUGAUACAUUUUUGAAUGUUUUCACUGGCAUGAUUCACAAAAUUGUAUAAAUUGUAUAGUCCCAGGCUAUCCCACCAUUAACUGCCUCAUGGGGACUGUCUCUAACUUCCCCAGGACUUGAUCCAUAGGGAAAUGCUUGCAAGAAUAAAAAGCAUUAAUGAAUUCA